CCGGACUCGAGAUUGACGGCCCAGGCCCCGCCCUGCCGCCCCACCGGCCCGCCCGGGCCCUAGUGGGUGGGCGCAGCCUCUGGCGCUUCUUCGGGAUCCCAGCUGACCAGCUGGGGGUGGGGCGUGGCGGAGUGGCCACGUGGGCCGCGCGGAGAACGCGCCAGGCUCAUCACCUGGAUCAUCGUGCCUCAGUUUCCCCCUCGGCAAAUGGGGCUUCAGCGGCUCGCGACGCACAUUGAUGGAGCGUAUGUCCAGGCGCCGGUGCACCGCAAGGAGCAAAACAGACACAGUUCUUGGUCCUAGGGCUCACGUCCCGGGGCGAAGAGGAUCCUCCAUAAACGAUCAGCCAUAGCAGCUGUGAUUGGACAAGAGACUGAUUUCAGUGACUUUCUCCUAAUAAGAGACCACCGACCAGCUGACCAUGCCGACCAGCUGACCCGUUAAUAGAGAGAGAUGAUGCACCUGCAUGCCUUUGUGUCCUGAAAAGACGUUUUGCCAUAAAGGCCCUAAUUGUAAGAUGUGUAAAUGUUAAGUCUCCACCCCAAAGUGAACAUGGGUCAUAUAUUACAUGCUUUGCUCAAUAAGAGGGCAUGUGUCAGGACCACCUUCAUGAAUAUUCAUAGCUCCUCCUGUUACCUGUUGAAUAUGUAUGUUUAGCCAAUCCCUUCAGCAUAGCGCUCCUGCCCCAACCCCUCCUCCUUGGACGUGCCUGUCUCUGGCCUUGGCUGGAGACAGAUUCCCAGCCUCAGACAGAUGGCCGCCACCUUGCAGGCUACGACCGUUUACAAGAAAU
rnacentral:lncRNA from 1 species